rnacentral:misc_RNA from 1 species
GAUGAAGAACGUAGCGAAAUGCGAUAAGUAAUGCGAAUUGCAGAAUUCAGUGAAUCAUCGAAUCUUUGAACGCACAUUGCGCCCAUUAGUAUUCUAGUGGGCAUGCCUGUUCGAGCGUCAUUAAGUCCACUUAAGCCCUGCUUAGUGUUGGGAGACUGCUCCAGCGGUGCUACCCUGUAGCUACCCUGCAGCUCCUCAAAGACAGCGGCGGAGUUGUGGUAUCCUCUGAGCUUAGUAACUUGUUCUAGCUUUCGAGUACACCACUUCCCCUGCCGUAAAACCCUUAAUUUUUAAUGGUUGACCUCGGAUCAGGUAGGAAUACCCGCUGAACUUAAGCAUAUCAAUAAGCGGAGGA